rnacentral:rRNA from 1 species
UACAGAGGUCUCGAGCGUUAGGCGGAAUCACUGGGCUUAAAGCGUGUGUAGGCGGAUCGGUAAGUACUUUGUGAAAUCCCACAGCUUAACUGUGGAACUGCUUGGUAUACUGCCAGUCUUGAGCCAGCUAGGGGCUACCGGAACAAAUGGUGGAGCGGUGAAAUGCGUAGAUAUCAUUUGGAACGCCAAUGGUGAAAACAGGUAGCUGGGGCUGUGCUGACGCUGAGACACGAAAGCCAGGGGAGCAAACGGG